CACUGUUGCAGGAUGUGGCAAAUGGAAGACUUUGGAGAGAGUGAAUUUUCAGAGACCAGCAAGAUAUGCUGGCCAAUGAUGAUGAGUGGCUUAUGAGCCAGUUCCGAUUUACAUGACCUGUCCUCUUGGAUCUCUGUGCUCUAUUGGGCCCAGUGUUAAAGAGAAGCACCUGCAGAAAGCACACCGUGUCAGUCCUUCAAGUCCUGAUGACACUGGGAUUUCUAGCAACUGGCACUUUCCAGAGGUGACAGUGGAUAUCCACUCAAGUGGUGGCAGUUGACCCCUUUCCCCAACCCACAGACUGCAGAGGAGAGGAACUACAAUGUGCGCCACAGCCAAGUACAAUGUAGUGGAGCGCACUAUGGGGCUUCUUAAGUGUUGUAACAUAACAUUUUUAUUAAUAUAAAACAUAACCAAGUCUGAAUAUUGGAAUAUGUCGGAAUAUGUCAAGUUGCCAAAUAGAUGAUGAAAUAGAUAUAACUGCUAAUUUAUUAAAUAAAUAAUUUUUGACCACUUC